AGCUUCGAGAACACACCGAGUCAGUCAUAGUUAUAACACGGAAGAGGCUGUCUCUGCAGAGUGCAGAACCCGCAGCCACGCUUCUCGGGCAAGUUUUCUCGCGUCGAAACGCCUGGAGCCUAGCCUCGGGUGGUCUCAGCACCACCCUGAAAGGGAACUUCGGCUUUGGUGGCCGCUUUCCCUGGAUUCGCUCGCUGACCCACAAACACACACCCGCCUGAAGCGGAGACGGCGCUUCUCCCUCCCCCCCCCCGUGCCUCAGGGGGCAAACAGCGGCACCGAGCCGGGAAGCCGUGACACUGGCGCCUUCAGAGUGCGAAAUCUUUGGACUGCGCAGGCGCUGAGCUGUGCAGCGUGGGCGAUGGAACCACCGACCAACCCAGAGUCAGAUGGGGAGGGAGGGGGAAACAGCGGGAGAGGAAGAAGCCCUCUGUUCGUUGGACAGCUGUGGGCAUAGGGCAGGAGACAGGGGGCAAGAGAAAGGAGGAGAAAACAAGAGAGUCAGCCAGCUGAGAAAGAGAAAUGGUGUGUGUGUAGGGGGGGUGCCACCCCUCUUGCCAUUUUAAAGCCGCUGCUCUUGGUUGAUUUUGAAAGGGGGAUGACCCCCCACCAGGUCUACAGGACGAGGUGGCAUUUUGUACCUCACCUUCAACAUAAUACUUUGGGCCAUCCAUUGGACCAGCAAAAAAGUCCCUGUUUGCCAGAUCCGACCCCUGGGCAUUAUGUUGUGUAGGCCUAGUAGCAAUUUUAAAUGAUCUGAUGUUUGCAUAUUGCAAUCCAGAUUAUUAGUCAAAAGGUAGAGUAUAUAUUAAGUAUAAUUACUUGGCACAAGCCUUCAUUUCUUAGCUUUAUUGGAAAGGAUUGUUACAGCACCACCCAGUAAACAAUGGUUUUACAAGUUUCAUAAAAAUGCCAGAAGGCAGAGUUAUUUUUGCAGACUACAGCAGCAGCCAUACACUAACAAAUCAGGCAGGAUGGGUUAAGCAAUUAGGUAAAAUCUAUGGCCAUGAUCCCAAAGAUCUGUUUACAAGCACGUGAGGGGACCAUGUGCACAAACUAGCUUUUUCAAUGAUGCUUUUGCCUUUGACAUUCCAACAGUCAAUGAGGCAAGCAGCUGUUCAGCUUUUGAAAGGCAGGACAACAGCUAAAGGCUUGUAUCUUUUCAAAAUUACCCCUCACCAAACCAGGCUAAGUAACAGAGACCCAUGGAAGAACACACACCCAGGAGGAGAUCAAGAGGAGAGGAAAUGGAGAGAUCUCUAGGAGAAAGCAACACCACACAGUUUGGGAAUCACAGUUCAACUAGUUCAUGUACAAGACAGUUUUUUUAAAAAAAGAAAUGUUGAUACCAUACUAUAUGUUUAUUUUGCAAGUCUAUUGACCAUAAUAAUUGAUUGAAAUGAUACAAAAUUUAGCCUGAACAAUAUGAUCCAAAUAAGGAUCAUAAUUUCAUCUGAAACAUGUUAUAUAAACCACAAGCCAGAGUUAUAAAAACUGUGUUUAACAUUAAAAAACACUUUAUUGCCUUGC